rnacentral:rRNA from 1 species
UAGCCCCUACGGGGGGCAGCAGUCGGGAAUAUUGCGCAAUGGAGGAAACUCUGACGCAGUGACGCCGCGUAUGGGAAGAAGGUUUUCGGAUUGUAAACCAUUGUCGUUAGGGAAGAAGAAGUGACAGUACCUAAGGAGGAAGCUCCGGCUAACUAUGUGCCAGCAGCCGCGGUAAUACAUAGGGAGCGAGCGUUAUCCGGAUUUAUUGGGUGUAAAGGGUGCGUAGACGGGAAGGCAAGUUGGUUGUGAAAUCCCUCGGCUUAACUGAGGAACUGCUACUAAAACUAUAUAUCUUGAGUACUGGG